GUGUUUGCUUCAGCAGCGCAUACAAGAAAACUGGAACGAUACAGAGAAGAUAAGCACGGACCCUGGGCAAGAAUGGCAUGCAAAUUCAUGAAGCAUUUCGUAUUUUU